rnacentral:rRNA from 1 species
AGAAUCAACGCUGGCGGCGUGCCUAACACAUGCAAGUCGCACGAGAAAGGGACUUCGGUCCUGAGUACAGUGGCGCACGGGUGAGUAGCACGUGAAUAAUCUACCUCCGAGUGGGGAAUAAACUGAGAGAAAUCUUAGCUAAUACCGCAUAACACUUACGAGUCAAAGCAGCAAUGCGCUUGGAGAGGAGUUCGCGGCAGAUUAGUUAGUUGGCGGGGUAAUGGCCCACCAAGACGAUGAUCUGUA